GGAAGAAUCACCAAGUUUGACAAUGGAGGAGCAACACUAUUGUCAAAGAAUUCCUCAUAUUUCCUAACUGGUGCAUAACAAUGGCACAGGGAGUAUGUGACCAGGUCUCCAGUGAAUCACUCUGCACUUCCUUAUGAAGGAUAAAGAAGUCCAUGGACAAGGGAGAUUUGUGAUAUCAGCAUGAGUGUGGCAAUUUAUUUUUGAGAUUGCAAGCAUGUGGUAUUUGGGGUGGGAAACAAGUGCAUUGUGCCAGUCCUGGGAUGUUCCCCCUGGGUGGAGCUGCCUGGUCCUUAUAAAAGGAGUCUCCAUCACAGUGCUGUCAUUGUCCUGACGGUCAUAGGUCUUCUUUGGAGCUUCUGAUUCCUUGAGACCCAGGAAGGAUGUCUCAACAGCAGCAUCCGCAUCCACAUCAGCAUCAGCAUCAGCAUCACCAUCAGUGCAAGGAGCCCUGCCAUCCACCUCCAAAAGUGUGCCCACCCAAGUGCCAUGAGCCUUGCCCACCUCAUCCAUGCCCACCUCCACUGGGCCAGAAGAAAUGCCCUCCUGGGCCACCAUGCCCACCAUGCGAGCAGAAGUGUCCACCCAAGUGGAAGUAACAGACUCAUGAUCCAGGCUCUUCCAUUGUCCUCCCUUUGACCAUGGUGAUGGACUGCAUCUUCCUUAAUCUUCCUCCUCAACCGACAGCUGACAGAGACGAGGCUUGCUUUCUGAAGCCAACACCACGUUGUUGGAAGAAGAGCAGCAGGAUCAUCGCUUGAUCUCUCUUUGCCAUGUGCCCGUCUGUAAUCCGUGUUGUGAUCUCUACCCCAUGAGCAAUUAGUGUGUCUAUUCUUUUGCUUCUCCAAUAAAGCAUAUUCAUAGCCCAUUAUGUAUUUCUUUCUUUGUUUUUUUUUCUUUUCUUUUUUUUUUGCAUAUAGUGUUUUUCAUCUCUUUUGUCAGCUACAAGUAUUCUUCUGAGUGUUCCUUUUAAUUCCCAUUGGGUUAUCAGAAUUAGAUUUUUCCAUCAUUGAGUUCAGCUUUGCCUGAAAUAUGUCUUUUGGACUGGAUUCGUCAAUGAAUUCCUUCAUUGGCUUCAGACUUGUUUCUAUCUCUAUCUUGAAGACCCUGAAAAGAGUUGAAUUCUCUCAGUCUCAGAUUCUUUAUUUGUAAA
ensembl:lncRNA